AGCCUAGUAAGCUUGGAGGGUAAAGCGUCUGCCUUGUAAGCGCUAGGUCGCAGGUUCGAUUCCCGCCUGGGGUG
rnacentral:tRNA from 1 species